rnacentral:lncRNA from 1 species
GUUCGUUUUUGCCCACCGCCCAGAAAGCCAAACACCGAGAUGACGAGGUUGCAGCAGAGAGAGGGUUUACUCACAAGGCAGGCACGUGAGGAAGCGAGGGCCUGAGUCUCAAAUUCGCUUCCCUGAAAAUAGGGACUCAGGGAUUUUUAUGGGAUGGGUGUUACCGAACCCGAAGAGGAGAUAGUCCAGGUGCUUGUCCUUGAUGGUGUCUGUCUCCAUGCAGCAUAGUGGAUUCUGGAGCCAGGAAGCCAGAGAGGUAUUUGCUGAGCGCCAUUCUCUAGGUGCUUUCCGGUUGGGAGAGGAAAGAACUGAAGACACCGUGUGCAGACCUCACCAGGUGGAGGAGCCAGACCUGAACGUGAAUGAUGGCGACACUGCGAGGCGGGGACCCCCAGGUGCCGCUGAAGCGCUGCCGGAGCACAGCAGAGCCCAGGGACGGCUUCAGAGGACAUGGCAGAGCAGCACUGGCUCCACUGGACGCUAACCGAGCGCCUGCCACGUCCCAGGCUCUCUUCAUAUACUGUCACUUUUCCUUCCCACAAGGACUUACAGAGGUAGUCAUUUAUGUCCAUUUUACAGAUGAGAAAACUGAGGACUAGAAAGGUAAGGUAACUUGCUCAACGUCACACAGCUAGUCAGUGAUGGUGCUGGGGUCUCAACUCCUAGCUCUUCCUAACUCCACAGGGGAUGGACUUUCCACUGUGUCCUGAUAUUUGCGAAGUCUUGAAAGACGUGUAGGAAUUUACCUGAGUGGAACAAGGGGAUAAGGAGCAUCCAGGCAAAAGUAACAGUAUUUGUUAUUCAAGAGCUGAGGUAUAACGAAAAUUAUAAAGCAAAGCACGUUUGAGCAACUGUAAAGAUGAAAUCAUAAGCGUGUAAUUAUAACCACGUGACUGACUUGAAUAGGGUCGUGUGCAAAUCCCUUUGCUUGGUCGAUUGAUGAUAAUUUCUAACAGGCCCAAGUUCUUGGUAAGUUUUACAUCCUCUCCAUUCAGACACAGCAUUCCUACUCUUUCAUAGGUGUUCUCGUGUGUGCGCGCGCGUGUGUGUAGGGAGGGCCGGGGAGGUCCUCUAGUGGGUGCUCCUGGUAACCUCUCCUUGCAUUUGUUUUUCUGAGCCGACUGAAUCUUGAGGUUAACUUUCCGGACAUUCCCCGGGAAGCAGGGUGAGAUCCGCGCGCACGCCCGCCUCUGGCCCUGUCCCGGGGGUUCCGCGGGCUCCUGGGAUUCUCCGGUAUAGAAGCGUUAGCGCUGGAUCCGGCUUGAGGUCAGUAAACACAAAGACAAAACAACCUAAUACACCUGUCCCCACUCCCUCACACGAGUUCUACCUGCUCCUCAAGUUUUUGCCCAAAUUAUACCUCUCGAUGCAUUUCCACUUAUGUUUUUCUCUUAACGUUUCCACAAAGCUUGUUAUGUAUUCAACUUAUUCCAGCUGGCCUCAAGUGAUUUUCAAAAAACUGUUUCCAAUGCAACUACCAUCAGAACGUGGAUUAAGCACAGCGUUUGUUUGCAAGUCUGCAUCCGCCCUGCGGUAGGGAGGCUCUUUGUCUCCGAGGGCCUCGUCGGUACUCAGCGUUUGUUGACUGAAGCAGG